rnacentral:ncRNA from 1 species
AGCAAAGUGUUGAAGAGGAAAAGUAGAAUAGGAAGCUUCAAAGAGAAAACCAUCACCGGCUGAAAGUGGUUUAAGCCUCUCUUAUUUGAAAAUGCACCUCAGAGCCCCAUUUCGAAAAGAAUGCUCUUAGUAGAUAUGGGCGGAACCUUCCGUUAACAGGUUAGAGUGAGGCCAAGAAGAAAGAUAAUGGUCUAAUCAGAGUGGAACCACGCCCAAGCGUCUCUGUC